GUGGUUAUGUCAGAAUCAUAUGAGUCAGCUUUAAGCGUUGAUUAUGGAAGUUUUCCUAACCACU
rnacentral:tRNA from 2 species